rnacentral:rRNA from 1 species
UUGGGUGUCUACGGUCGCAAGACUAAAACUCAAAGGAAUUGACGGGGACCCGCACAAGCGGUGGAGCAUGUGGUUUAAUUCGAUGCAACGCGAAAAACCUUACCACUUCUUGACAUGGAGAUUAGAUCCUUCUUAACGGAAGGGCGCAGUUCGGCUGGAUCUCGCACAGGUGCUGCAUGGCUGUCGUCAGCUCGUGUCGUGAGAUGUUGGGUUAAGUCCCGCAACGAGCGUAACCCUCAUCCUUAGUUGCCAGCGGGUUAUGCCGGGCACUUUAAGGAAACUGCCAGUGGUAAACUGGAGGAAGGUGGGGAUGAUGUCAAGUCAGCACGGCCCUUAUGGGGGGGGCUACACACGUGCUACAAUGGUGACUACAAUAGGUUGCAAUGUCGCAAGGCUGAGCUAAUCCGUAAAAGUCAUCUCAGUUCGGAUUGUCCUCUGUAACUCGAGGGCAUGAAGGCGGAAUCGCUAGUAAUCGUGGAUCAGCAUGCCACGGAGAAUACCUUCUCGGGUCUUGUACACACUGCCCGUCACGCCAUGGGAAUUGGCUUAACUCGAAGCUGGUGCGCUAACCGAAAGGAA